rnacentral:lncRNA from 1 species
UUUGUUCCAUGAGGAAGAUGACUACGUGUCAUCUUAUGAACCAUUGGAUCCAAGGCGCAUCUUUUAAUCCUGGUCGUGCAUGCUACUUUGUCCUGUAGUGACUUAAGUGGCCUUGACCAAUUGAUACAAUGUCACAUGCAUUAUUUUAAUAAAAUGUUCAUUUAAUAUUUUGUCACGCUGGACUUUAUUUUGGUUGGACCUUGGGCCUGCACCAUUCCCUUUCAUCACCCCCUUUUUUCA